CUAGGCGAAUCUGGACUCAAUUUAUGCAUGAGUCCGUGGGCCUCAGACUGGGAAAUGCGCAGAAGUCUUGCUCCAUGGCAGUUUUUAACCGGUUACUUUCUCAUUCUCUGGUAUAUAUUCUCUACAUCAGUUGCCCAAAUGUCCAUGGAGAUUAGCGAGUCGCGGCCUUUUAGCCCUCUGCAUUGUGUUCAGAUGAGCGUAGCAAAUGAUAUAUCAGGACAUGAACUCGGUGAUGAAAGCCCUGUGUCCUUAGCUAGAAAGGGAGGACUUCCUCCUGCCAACAAAGCUCACUCCAGUUCUCUGUCUGAUUGUGAGCAAGGCUUCAGUAUUGAAUAUCUACAGGCCAGACUAGUCAAGAGCGUAAAGAUUGUAAUGUUAACAACCAAACUUAAUCUCCUGUUGCCUUGUGGCCCUGCUGCAAUUGUAGUCAAUUAUCUGACAGCCUACCAUGGAUGGGUAUUCUUGCUAAGCUUGCUGGGCAUCAUACCUCUAGCAGAGCGCUUGGGUUUUGCUACUGAGCAAUUAGCAUUCUUCACCGGACCUACAGCUGGGGGCCUUCUAAAUGCUACAUUUGGUAAUGCAACAGAAUUAAUAAUAUCAAUUUUUGCACUAAAAAGCGGAAUGCUGCGUGUUGUUCAGCAGUCACUUUUAGGGUCCAUAUUGUCAAACAUAUUGCUAGUUCUUGGAUGUGCAUUCUUCUGCGGAGGAAUAAGUUUUCAUAAAGAGCAAGUUUUUAACAAGUCAGCUGCUACAAUGAACUCUGGGUUGCUGCUGAUAGCAGUUAUGGGCCUCUUGUCUCCUGCUGUUCUCCACUACACCCAUACUGAAGCACAUUUCGGCGCUUCAGAGCUGGCCCUUUCAAGAUUUACUAGUUCUGUUAUGCUACUGGUUUAUGCCUUCUACAUUGUUUUCCAGUUGAAAAAUCAGAAAGUCACAAGUGAUCGUGCUGAUGAGGAAGAAAGUGCUGACAAUGAUGUUGCUGAGAUUUCUAAGUGGGAGGCUGUCGUUUGGCUUGCAGUUAUUGCUGGUUGGAUUUCAGUCCUUUCCGAGUAUCUAGUAAGAACUAUAGAGGGUGCUUCACUUGCAUUGAAAAUACCCAUUGCUUUUAUCAGUGUUGUUUUACUUCCAGUUGUUGGGAAUGCUGCUGAGCAUGCAAGUGCUAUAACAUUUGCCAUGAAAGACAAACUUGAUAUUUCUGUUGGAGUUGCAAUCGGGUCUUCUACUCAGAUUGCGAUGUUUGGGAUACCAUUCUCUGUGGUGCUUGGAUGGUUGAUGGGAAGACCGAUGGACCUAAAUUUUCAACUUUUUGAGACAGCCAUUCUCUUCAUUACAGUGUUAGUGCUGGCUUUCAUGCUUCAGGAUGGUUCUUCAAACUACUUUAAGGGGUUGAUGCUCGUCCUUUGCUAUCUGAUAGUAGCUGCCAGUUUUUAUGUCCAUGUCGAUCCCAAACCUAAUGGAGAUACAGUCCCUCUCCCCUCCCCUGAAGCCUAGGACAGAUGGACGGACUGACUGACUGACUAGGCAGGAAGGACAGCGAGCAUCCAUAUAUAUAUAUAUAUAUAUAUAUAUAUAGGUUUGUGUAGCAAAUAAAAGUUAUUGUUGCUAUUAUUAUUAUUAUUAUUAUAGCCAUGUCAUUGGCAUAUUACUUUGCUCAUUAGCUUGAGGAAAUUUUGCAAGAGUACCAUGUGAAGUGCUCCCCCGAGUUUCUGACCAUCAUCUGCAGAAAGUACUAAGUAGCAUGUGCUCGUGUCUAAUUGUCAUGUUCUCAAGGAAUCAGCUUCAGGGAUUUCUGUGAUCAACUAAAACGUGGGAUCUGUUUCCUUGCGUUUUAUUGGUUAUAAAUUAAAUAAAUAAACAAAGUGAAUACACUAGGAACACAUGCGACGGAGCAUAGCCAGGCCAUAAAUAAAAGAUCAAUCACAAGAAGCGGCCAAUAACUUGGGAAGAGCUGAAGAGUUUACCCUGAACCCCACCAAUCACCAUAUAUGUAUAUAUAUAUCUCUCUUGAAAAUUACCUUUAUUGUUUAAUUGUUUCUUCAAUUUUCGUGUCACAAAGUUCAUCGGGCCCGUUGACACCAAGUUGUUCUUCUUUGAAUAUCGUCCACGAAACUAAGCUAAGCUAACUUGAUCCAGUGACUCAGCGUUACGGGUGGCACCCAGGCUUUCCGCGUCAUGGUAAAGUUAUUGCUUUUCCCAAUGCUUUAGUACAAGCACACUUUGGGAGUAGCAUCAGCCAAGCGUCUACUCACCAUCAUACAUAGAUAUGUGUCAUAUAAGCACUACACAGGUCGAGUCUCCAUGUUAUUUCUUUUGAAUUGUAAAUUUCAUG